CGUAACACGUGAGCAAUCUACCUUUUUGUGGGGGAUAGCCGGCCCAACGGCCGGGUAAUACCGCAUACGAUCUUCGGGAGGCAUUUCCUGGAGAUGAAGCCUACGGGGCAAAAAGAGGAGCUCGCGGCCUAUCAGCUAGUUGGCGAGGUAACGGCUCACCAAGGCUAUGACGGGUAGCUGGUCUGAGAGGAUGGCCAGCCACAUUGGGACUGAGAUACGGCCCAG
rnacentral:rRNA from 1 species